rnacentral:rRNA from 1 species
ACGUAGGUGGCAAGCGUUAUCCGGAUUUACUGGGUGUAAAGGGCGCGUAGGCGGGGAUGCAAGUCAGAUGUGAAAUCUAUGGGCUUAACCCAUAAACUGCAUUUGAAACUGUAUCUCUUGAGUGUCGGAGAGGUAGACGGAAUUCCUAGUGUAGCGGUGAAAUGCGUAGAUAUUAGGAGGAACACCAGUGGCGAAGGCGGUCUACUGGACGAUAACUGACGCUGAGGCGCGAAAGCGUGGGGAGCAAACAG